UCUCAACCACCGAAACUUUCUCGUGUAUCCGUUACUCACUUCAUUUUUAAUGCAGUUUUGUAAAAAUUUCUGCGAUUCAGUGUGGGUUAUACUUAUUUAUACUAGUUUUUUCAGAUAAGCUGGAAAGACCACCAUUAAUCACUGAAGAUACUCCCACUGAUUAUGAAGAACUUACGGUGAUUGUUUUUGAAAAUAAGGCGCCAUAAAAUAUUGCAAAGAUUUGAAACAAAUACAAAACACAUGUGCGAAACGAAAGAAAUGCUAAAGGAAACGAGUGAAAAAAUCUCCAACAUGGAAAAGUCAUCAAAUCGGACAACUGAAAAAAAAAACAAAAAUAGAAGUUACGCCGCCAAGACCACACCUAAACAAAUUUUGACGAAUUACAAGAUUAUCUUUGCCUAUUAGAACAAGCAGAUUUCUUUGUAAGUUAAAAAAAUACAAUGAAUUCCAAUUCAUGUAUACAUAUAACAUAAUUUGGAUAUUAUAUACAAUACUACGAUACUUUUUGUUAACUUACUAGUUAUACAUGGCACCUUUCGCUUCAUUGUAAAAAGUAUUGACAACGAGAUUUUCCUGAUAGGCUAUACGUUUUUGUCAAUGCAACCAUUUUACGAUUAUCCGUUAGAUUCAAGUAAAUUUAGCAUUUUUAAAAUGCAGAAUUUGUCUUCUGCUUUAAGCUGUAAUCCCUUAAAUUUAAUAAUAGCCAAAUGCUUGCUAUUGCCCAUACACGAAAAAAUGAUUGUAUUUCCAUUAAUCCAUGCACUCUAACGGGUUUUUCUUUUCAGUGCAAUAAAUUGAGGCAAACUUAAAAAACUUAGGUUAUUAAUAUUAUUGUUAAAACAGAAUUAAUUUUUAACGGUACUUUUUUGUGUGUUGGGGACAGUCAAGUCGUCGUGAAUUAGAAAGUUUUACAGUGCAUUUUCAAAUCAAGUAACUUCAACAAUGCGAUUCAAUUGUCUUUUCCCUUUAUUCUAGUUUUUUUUAUAUUUUUUGUAAAUAGAUUUGUUUGUGUUUU